rnacentral:rRNA from 1 species
GAUGAACGCUGGCGGCGUGCUUAACACAUGCAAGUCGAACGGACGAUGAAGAGCUUGCUUUUCAAAGUUAGUGGCGGACGGGUGAGUAACGCGUGGGUAACCUGCCUCAUACAGGGGGAUAGCAGCUGGAAACGGCUGAUAAAACCGCAUAAGCGCACAGCAUCGCAUGAUGCAGUGUGAAAAACUCCGGUGGUAUGAGAUGGACCCGCGUCUGAUUAGCUGGUUGGUGAGGUAACGGCCCACCAAGGCGACGAUCAGUAGCCGGCCUGAGAGGGUGACCGGCCACAUUGGGACUGAGACACGGCCCAAAACUCCUACGGGAGGCAGCAGUGGGGAAUAUUGCACAAUGGGGGAAACCCUGAUGCAGCGACGCCGCGUGAAGGAAGAAGUAUCUCGGGUAUGUAAAACUUCUAUCAGCAGGGAAGAUAAUGACGGUACCUGACUAAGAAGCCCCGGCUAACUACGUG